GAGUUUGAUCCUGGCUCAGGACGAACGCUGGCGGCGUGCUUAACACAUGCAAGUCGAACGGUGAACCUCCUUCGGGAGGGGAUCAGUGGCGAACGGGUGAGUAACACGUGAGCAACCUGCCCCUAGUUCUGGGAUAACCUCCGGGAAACCGGUGCUAAUACCGGAUACGAGACCAAGCGGCAUCACAAGGUCUGGUAAAGUUUUCGACUAGGGAUGGGCUCGCGGCCUAUCAG
rnacentral:rRNA from 1 species